ACCCGUUUGGCUCAGUGGACAGAGCAUUGGCUUGUGAACUCAAAGGUCCCAGGUUCGAUUCCAGUCAAGGGCA
rnacentral:tRNA from 1 species